UCAGGAGCCGGUUGUAUAAAAACGUAAUUAGCGCUAACUGCAGUUAGCGUUAAUCACUGUAGUUAAAUCCUUAACUGUAAUUAGUUAACUACAUGACUUAACUACGUUGCACAAAACGUAGUUAGUCGGAUAGUUAACUAAUCACGUAGUUAACUGUGCGCGGGGCUUGCGUGGGGCGUUUAAACACAAAAUUACAUAAAGUAAGCAGCGAGUAACGACCGCUGACACACAUUUUCAACAUGAUUGUGGACUCGUAUUUUGCAAAUAGGCGGGAAUUUUAUUCAAAACACUAGAAAACAGUUAAAAAUAAACAAGAAAACAAGGAAAAACCGCCACAAAAAUCAUAAAAGAAUGCAGUUUUUCCUUGAGAUGUCUACGUUACACCAAGGUAUAGCUGUUUGGCAAUUAUAUAUCAAUGUUUCUUGGUGUAAUGGACCAUACUUUGUCUUCGAGAAAUCCUCCUAUGCA